UCCAGCACUUCAAACAGUGCCACCAACAAAAACCUUUCAGAACCCGGAUAUGUUUGUAAACUCGCUAAUCCUAAAGCAGAUAGAUCUAAAGAACCAGCAAACUGAACCAUGCAAAAAAUACAGUGUGUACACUUGCAAAAAGCAAGAUGACCUUUUGUUCUUCAGCUUGAAAAAGAAUUUUUGUGUCUGAGGGAAGUACUACUAAUAAAUCAACAGUUUUAGCCUCAAGAUAUAUCACUUUAAAAAAAAAAAAAGAAAAGAAACCAGAUUAUUGAAGUAACACAGUUCCCUGGGAGCAGCAGGAAUGGUCUUUGUUAUUAAAAAGGCAUUUCCAUAAAAAGUUUCCACAUUUAGGGGCAUUUAAUUAACUCAGGAGUAAAAACCAUAAAAAUUAAUAUAUCCCAUACAUAAAAGUUGACAGAAAAUUUGUCCUUUACUCCAUGGUUUUACUGAUUAUGGGUUGGUAGCAGAUUAGAAUUAGAUUGGUUCAGUUGGAAGGGUCCUUUGGAGAUCAUCAAGUCCAACUGCCUGAUGGAAAGAGUUACUGUGUAAGAUAUUAUUAAUGCAGUCACAGCUUAAAAGAAACCAUCCCUAAGGGAAGAUGCCAAAAUGAAUUCUUUGUGUAUUAACAAAGGAAGCCAGAAGACCCCCUUACAAUGAGUCAGUCUGCAAUAAAGAUGAGUGUGACAUUUCAUAAGCUUUUAGGUAGGUAUGCUGUAAGUAUUACAGAUUCUAACAGUUGUAAAGGCUCCAAAGCCUUUCAUCAUCACUAAAUGAAUCCAUUAAAUUUGGUGUGACACAAAGUUGCAAAUAGAAAUGGAGAAAGCAUCUACCUGUAAAUUAUUUCAAAAUCCAUCCACUGCUCAGCCAGUGAGAUACUUUUCCAUCUUAAUUAAUAGUCAAUACAUUGUGAGAAGCCUAAAGGAAAUCUUUUUCCUAAUCAAAGCAUAAAGUUAAUCUAUGUGUCACACUACUAUGUGGUAAACUGGUAAUCUUUUCAGAAGAAAACACAGAAAGAGUCUGAAAAACAACAGUUUAGCAGUUCUCUUCCUCCCUCAAAUGUUUGUUUUGUUUUUUUUGUUUUUUUUUAAAGUCAGUCCCACUUCUAAAGGCAGAGGAGGGCAGCACAUCUCUCAGAAAUAGCCGUCAGAUUUAUACAAAUGCUGCCAGGCUCUCCUUUUAUUCAUUGCAGCGCUUUCCAAGCCUAAUCAAUUCACAAAGCCUGUAAUGAAGUGAUUACAGAAAUAAUAGACAGUAGUGGAAAAGAGGCCUGUGAGAGCCAUGGAGAGAAUGACUGUCUGUCCUCCUCACCACAGAGAAACUCAGCCUCUGCUCUGCCUGAGCUCAUGGGGAUUCAAGAACCAUUCUGGGAAGUGAUGGAGACACAAGCUUACAUUAGCGUGUGUAUAUUAUAUUCUGUCAGGUUUUGAAAUUGCAGCAUUGUGAUUUAUAUGCAAGGUUGUUUAGGUCAUAAUUAAGAUUUCUGAAGUGUACUUGUAGUCAUUUAUUUUCCUCCUGCUGCUCAGAUCUGUUGAGCCGGACUCAAAGCGUUAAGAUCAUGAUUUUUAUCAUCAAACAACAGGAAAAGUCAUAUCAAUAGAAUGGUUUGAUCCUCAUUUAUUCCUUAGAAAUACAAGGAAUUCUGCAGUGAUAGGACAGGCUCCUAGUGAGAGAAGUUAAAUAUGAUACAUAUUUGUUAAGUAUUUCCUUGAAAUAAAAUAUGAUUUCUUUUCCCUCUUAAUUUAUAAAAAUUUAACAUGGCUAAGUUCCUAACUUGUUUUGUCUGCUGAACCAUUGAAAGAGAUUAGAGCAUAAAUAUAUAUGACAUCCACAUUAUUACCAAAUACAUUCAUUAGCAGCAAUGCUAUCACAGUGAAUACCAGAUGGAAUUAACAGUGACAGAGCAAUAAAUUAAAGUGUUCAUACAUUUCUUUCUUGCAGCUUACAAACUCAGGAUUUAUUCCUGACCUUUGGUAUGAAACUUGACAAUUGCUGGUAAAUCAUACAUAAUGCUGUUAGUAGUCAGUGCUACAACUCAGACCUUUUUACCCUGCAGAUGUAACAGAUAAUUUUCUAAGAAUUUAUUUGUGGAUUAACAUUAAUUAUCAUGCACACUUCACAAAGAAUUAAUGUCGGUACAAAAUAAGCUUAUCUCCAUUCAGGACACCUUCCAGUUUAUUCUCGCCAUCUCUGUGAUGAUGUGUUUUAUUACAUAAAACAGGAUCAUAGCAUGGCUGAGGUUGGAGGCACCACAGGAUCCCACUGCCCCAGAACUGCCCCAGAAGAGCAAGGCCCAGCCCCACAGGCAGGCGGCUUUGGGAGAGCUCCAAGGAGGAGACCCCACAGCCUCUGGGCAGCCUGUGCCAGGGCUCCAGCACCGCACAGCACAGCAGUGCUGCCUGAUGGGCAGAGGGAGCUGCUGUGCUCCGGGUUGUGCCCAGUGCCUCUGCUCCUGGCACUGGGCAGAGCUGCAAGGAGCCUGGCUGUGUCCUCUCUGCACCUCCCUUUGGAUAUUUAUGGACAUGGAAGAGAUCCCUCUGAGCCUUCUCCAGGCUCAGGGGAUCUCUGAGAGAUGCUCUGCUUCUCUCAGCCUCUCCAUAAGGCAGAGGUGCUCCAAUCCCUUCAUUGCUUUAAUAGCCCUCCAUUUGGACUCUCUUGAGUGUGUCAAGGACUCCUGUACAGGAGGACCCACCAGUGGACACAUGGUGUCUCCCCACCAGUGCUGAGCAGAGGGGAAGUACCACCUCUCUCUAUCUGCUGGCUAUACUUUGCCUAUUGCAGCCCAGAAUACUGUUAGGCUUCUUUGGAGCAACGUGGUGGCCAUCAGGGCUCUGAAGUACUUUCCAUUCAAGUGCCCCUCCCAGCUUGUGCUGAUGCUUUGGGUAGUUCCUUCCUGGGUACAGGACUUUGCAACUCUCUUUGCUGUACUUCAGGAGGUUCUUUUCAAAGCCCAUUUCUCCACCCUGACAGCAUCCUUUGGAUGGCAGCGUAACCCUCAGGUCUGUCAGUCUCCCAGUUGCGUGUCUCUGAGUUGUCUGCUCAGAAACUCACCACGUUCUCCUUUUAUAGGCAGUUGUAGCAAGGGUCUCCUUUGGGUUCACAAGCAGGCUUUUUUGAGCUGGCGGCACCUGAAGGGCAGGUUUAGAGGUUAGGUAGGAACUUGAUUCCAGCUUUUAUACGUUUUGUGCGUUUUCUCUGGUAAAGAAGUUGGCACACCAGUCAGGUUGCAGACUUGGUCCAUUUCAUUUUGUUAGCUGAACUUACCGUUUCUCUCUGACUCAGUAAGGAAUUAUUUUUCUAAAAGACAGCAAUUCCACCCUUUUCUGAUAGAAAAUCCUCAAGUGCAGGUGUUAACCUCUAUUUAACAGUUUUGAUACUCUGAAAAUAGGCUUCCUUCACUUCAUUACCUGUCAUAUACCUUGGAAGUCCAUACAGACCUUAGGGAUGAAAAGCAGUGUGUGAGCUGAUUAAGGUUUCCAGGUUUUGGACACAAAAAUAUUGGCUAAUUAUAACUAUGAGACCAUUAGUGAAAUACAUAGAUGUGGGAGUCAUUUCAUGUCAGAUAUACGCUAAAGAGAAGGGAGGAUUGGAUUUUUUUUUUUGCAUACUUGGCAAAUCUAACAGUUCCACAGGAAAAACAAGGAUGCAAAACUGUAAUGAUGCUGUGACAUUUAUUCCUCUAUAAGAGUGAAGUGUCUGCAGAAAAAUACCCAGCUAGGAAUAACAAUCCUGACCCUGAAUUACGUACACAUGCCUUGCACUCUCCCUUGUGUGUAAGCGUAACAUUGCCACCAUCUAUGUGCAAAAUACUGUGCAUAGAAGCACCAUGAGGCAUCAGCAACACCCUCAGCAGUAGCUGUAGGCUGCUUGUAUGGAAGAGGGAGGAUCCAGCUCACUCAUCUCAGCCAUUAAGCAGAUAGACCUCAAAAAAGGGGGCUGUUGAUGGAUAAUUUUUUUUUGCCCAUAUUCUUGUCUUUGAAUUUAUUGUAGUAAGACUAAUCAUAAAUCUUUCUCUUUGAUCCCAAAGGGCUGCAAAAAGUCUAGCCUACAUCCAUCCUGGUCGUGGAAGGAGACAACUGAUGGUUGCCUUUUGCAGGUCCCAGAUGAAGAGGGUCACAGCAUUUCACGUAAUUGCUUCACAGAUUUGCAACCACUUGAACAGAAGAGGCAGAUGUAGCCACUGAGAUAAAUCUCACUGAAAUGCCACUGCAGUCCUCUGCCUGCACAGGAGCCUAUUUAGCACUGUAUAUGGAGUUUGUGAAAAGCUUUGUAUGGGAACCCCUCAGGUUUUGCUUGAUGAUGAAAGAGGAUGAGGAAGAAGGAAGGAUUCUAAGGCAGAUGUUUGAGCUGCAGAAUCAUAUCUUUGCUGGCAAUGGACCUCACUCUCCUCACCAAGGUCAGUGGUAUCAGUUGCCUGUUUGUGUGCUACAAUGUGCAGUCUGUUCCAAGAGGUAAACUAAUUAGUCUUGGGCCAGAUACAACUUCUGCAGCAUUUCUAUGGUCUUGAUCAGGAGCUCAAUACCAAAAGCAGGAAUUGGAUAGAGAGAGCCAUGGUUUCUAUAGUCAGUGUUAGGACUGGGACUGCACAACGCAGCACCCCUUAGAGCUUGGGAUAUCCAUAAUGUGAAAAUAGUUAUCUGUGAUCCGAGUCUCACUUCUGAGAGGAGCUGCUGUCAUAGCAAUCUAGUGCCUGCUUGAGAUGCAGCUGAAUCUCAACCUGUGCUCCAUUUGCUAGGCUGUGUACUUCGCUUUCCAGGCUUCACAGAUGCUAAAGAGCAAAUGAACAGAUCUUAAAUUUUAAACUGAAUCACCUCACACACUUGGCUUCAGAUUGUGCUCCCAAUCAUUUAUGUUUGUCUUCCAGGUUGGGAACUCUCCAAGUGUUUCUUACAUUCAACACUGCAAAUAAAGGAAAGAGUAAAAGAGCAAACAAUAAGUAAUAAUAAAAAGAUAAAUAAUAAUAAAAGGGUUCUUUUUUUCAGUGUUUAAAAGGCAGUUCAUUUAGACAAUAUAUAGUUGCAGUCAUGAAUGACUGGAACUCAUUUUAUAGUAUAUUUUUCCCAAUCAGAAAUGAAAUUGGCAGUGCAAUCCCUCCACCCCCAAAAUUACUUGGUUUAGUAGCCAGCUGAGUAAGCAAAAAAGCACAAGAGGAUUAAACCAAAGAUGCAGCUCAAACAGUAGUUGAAUCCUCAAGCAUUUCAAUACACAGCUGAUUCAGCAAAACAGAUACACAUUCAAAUGAAGGAUAUGAUGAAACUGAAAAACAGGCAGCUUAAUCAAUAAAGUGUUCAGAUUCUCCUGCUAAAGCAAAAGCAGCAGCUUAAAAAUUAAACAGAAAAAUGAGCUGGAAAGAGUGUCAUAUGAGGAAAAACAUGAAAUAAAAAUGCAAGACCGAACAGUGUCUCCUAUUAUGCCAGAGAUGCUCAAAUGCAAAAGUGGCCAAAGAAAAAUUUUCUCAUAUUAACAAAGCCAAAGCUUUUUUUUUUCUCCACAAGGAAAAGUCCCAGUGCUUCUGCUGUGAUUUUGGAGCUCCCAUUGGAGCCACAUCCAGGAAAUGUAACUCAGGGAUGAAGGCCUCUGUCCCAUCCAUCUUUUGAUUAAUAGUUGAUUAACAGUUGCACUUUGUAAAUAGAGGAGCUCAGAAAACAAAAGCAUUUUUCUUUUCAUUUUAUCACAGAGCUUAUAGGAAGUGGCAUAUCAUAUAACUCAAGAUUGCAAGUUGGUUAUUUCCUCCUAAAUAUGGAUUGGUUUGUUGGAGUUCACAGAUUUAUUAUUCUCUGUGAACUAUUCGGAAUUGGAUUUGCUUCACAAAAAAUUUUCACUUUACUGAAUGCUUCAAAAAAUGAUGAGCAAAUACAAAAUUUUUUCAGGAGAUUCACACACA